CAGUCGCCGCGGGAACACGUAGGUGGCAAGUGUUGUCCGGAAUUAUUGGGCGUAAAGGGCUCGCAGGCGGUUUCUUAAGUCUGAUGUGAAAGCCCCCGGCUCAACCGGGGAGGGUCAUUGGAAACUGGGAAACUUGAGUGCAGAAGAGGAGAGUGGAAUUCCACGUGUAGCGGUGAAAUGCGUAGAGAUGUGGAGGAACACCAGUGGCGAAGGCGACUCUCUGGUCUGUAACUGACGCUGAGGAGCGGAAGCGUGGGGAGCGAACAGGAUUAGAGACCCGAGUAGUCCCUGUCUCUUAUAC
rnacentral:rRNA from 1 species